UUUUCGGCAUCUUCUUCUUCUUCAUCUCUAUCGUCGGUUUUAUCUUCAUAUGCACCGAUGCCUUUGCCAAUGUUAGGUGGCUCUAUUCUAUCUUUGCCACUGUUGGGCUCUUCUUCCACUGUGUCCAUUGUUGAUGCUAUUACAUUGAGUUAAAUCGCCAGAUCAAAACCCUUGUUGUAGCCGUAGGAAUUGUUUUCUCUCUUGAGCUACACCUCUGGUGCCAUUUUGCUACUGAUCCUAUCCGGCUCACACCAUAUGAGAAAGCUACAUUCUCAUUGCCACCAAACUUGAAUGCAGGUACACAAUAUAAGCUCUUUGGUAAUUAUGUGUUGAAUCUGCUACUUGAAUAAGUUGAAGAUUACCAACAUCAUCUACUUGUAUGAAUCUGCUAAGCUUCCAUCUUAUCAAAGGUCUGUAUGUCAUUUGCAAACUUGUGAAAGCAAAGAGGAAGCUACAAGUAGAGAAGACGAAACCACACAAAACCUCGUGAUAACUCUAGCACUUUUUGCAAUGUAUUUGUACUUAAAUGACAUUUCUUAUUUUUUACAAUAAUGUAAUUGUACAACAAAGCGUAAGGAAUAGUAAUAUAGA